UACGGAGGGGGCUAGCGUUGUUCGGAAUUACUGGGCGUAAAGCGCACGUAGGCGGACUGUUAAGUCGGGGGUGAAAUCCUGGGGCUCAACCUCAGAAUUGCCUCCGAUACUGGCAGGCUCGAGGCCGGUAGGGGGUAGCGGAAUUCCCGGUGUAGUGGUGGAAUGCGUAGAUAUCGGGAGGAACACCAGUGGCGAAGGCGGCUACCUGGACCGGUUCUGACACUGAGGAGCGAAAGCGUGGGGAGCGAUCCGG
rnacentral:rRNA from 1 species